rnacentral:rRNA from 1 species
GUGAUGAAGGCCUUCGGGUCGUAAAACUCUGUCCUCAAGGAAGAUAAUGACGGUACUUGAGGAGGAAGCCCCGGCUAACUACGUGCCAGCAGCCGCGGUAAUACGUAGGGGGCUAGCGUUAUCCGGAGUUACUGGGCGUAAAGGGUGCGUAGGCGGUCUUUCAAGUCAGGAGUGAAAGGCUACGGCUCAACCGUAGUAAGCUCUUGAAACUGGGAGACUUGAGUGCAGGAGAGGAGAGUGGAAUUCCUAGUGUAGCGGUGAAAUGCGUAGAUAUUAGGAGGAACACCAGUUGCGAAGGCGGCUCUCUGGACUGUAACUGACGCUGAGGCACGAAAGCGUGGGGAGCAAACAGGAUUAGAUACCCUGGUAGUCCACGCUGUAAACGAUGAGUACUAGGUGUCGGGGGUUACCCCC